rnacentral:tRNA from 1 species
GCGCCGGUAGCUCAGCUUGGUGAGGCUAGCGAGCACUCGCUUUGCUUCGUGCAAAUAGAGCGAAAGGUUCCUAACCUUUAGGCCGGGGGCAUGAUUGAGUACAUGCUCUUUCAUCCCGAAUUCGAAUCCUCCCCGGCGCG